rnacentral:misc_RNA from 1 species
GGAGGUUUGUUUGGCCUGGGAUUUUGUCUGCCUGGUUAGCUCACUGCUUGCUGCCAUUUGAUCCCCUCAUAGGCCUUGUCAUGUGACUCCACGAGACAUCAUGUGCCUAACCUUUCUACCCAAUCCGUAGCCUGUAGCCAUCCAAGUUUUACCAAAAAUCUUAAAUUAGAAAUUCCAGUGCAUUGGGAGCUUGGAAAGAAGCAAAACCAUGUGGAUAGGCAAAGGGGUUGUGAUAAGAGUUGGGAAUUUCAAGAUGCGAAAAGGAAAGGAAGAGCAGCUGAUUUCUUUUAUUGAUAACCAAAAGAUAAUUUCCAAACACUCAAACACAAAAUAAUUCACUGGGUAACUGCAGAACAACUCAAAGACAAAAAGAACAGAAAAACAAAUAACGCCACCGUGCAAUAUGCCUGAUAAUACUUAUUAAUUCCCAAAGAUCUCCCCUUAACUCCCUUUCUACUCUAUUUAUAGGCUAUCUUGGCUGUCCAUAUCUCCAGAAGACAUCUCAUCCUUAUCUUCCUGUUAACAAACUGGAGCUGAUCUUUGUUAACAAACUGAUUUGUAUGCAAUAAGUUAUACUCAAUUACAUUUUGUAUUGUAAUUUGGGGCUUGUCGAUGUGAGCAUUCUUGGUUUCCUCGCAAGCAGUGUAAAGCAGCCUGGUAGCUUCUGAGUUUGAUU